CCUGCAGUCUUGUCACCGAUAUUUAAAAAAAAAGCCGCUACGUCACUUCGUGUCGUCUGCUCAGAGCUGCUGUGUUUACCUGCAAGGGCCCUAACACUCGGCAAUACUGUUUAACAUUGUUAGCUUCGACCUUCACGUGUUAAACACAAAACAGUACAUCUAUUACUUGUUCCGUUAAAAACAACUGUGGUUUAUGUUUUUAAGCUUUUUAUGGAUUAUAGCGACCUCUGUACGGUGAUAAGUCCCCAGUGUUUCUCAAAUUUUGACCUGUGAAGCUCCACUAGUCGAACACAUUUCGUGCACUCUCCAAAGAAAUGUGAGGGGAGGUGCAAACAGCGCAUGUACGUGUGGUGAUCGUCUGUUAUCUUAAGUAAGACUUCUGCAACAUACAGUUUAUUUUAUCCAUCAAAAGUCUGGAUGAUGCAAGACAGCGAGCAACAGUUGAACCUUUCUGACUUGAAAAAUUCGAGUAAAAUAAAAACAAUACCAACAAUUUUGAUUCGAUCUUCUUUCAGACGCCUCUUGAGAAAACGGUAUAUAUUCUACAAGGUCAUACUUAUACAAUGAAACGACCUUUCUUAUUUAAAUUGUUUAAAUUUUUGAAACUAUGGAAAUAAUGUCAACUUUACCUUAUUAACAUCUUAGAGUUCAUUUGUAACUACAAUUUGUAAUGCUUGUACUUGAACAUAAACUGAAUGCCUUCGAGAUCCCCCCUUCCCUAAUCAGUAAAAAAAAAGGUGGUGUCCCACAGUUUGAGAAACGCCACUCUAUUCUAAUCAAUAUUUAGAGUGCUUCUUCUUUUUUUUUUUUUCGUUAUUCCCUUCCUUUUUUUUUGCAAAGCAUAAAUUAACCGUCUCCGUCUGUCUGUCUGUCUGUCUGUCUGUCAGUAUUCUUUUACACUUUUUUCUUCCACUUCCAAUUCUUGGAUCACUUUAACACUUGGCACAAUUAUUCAUUGCCGACUACCAUGAAUAAAAAAAAACACAACAAACCAAUUAUUUAAUUAAUUAGUGAUAAUUAAUCAAUUGUUUUCUAUAAAAACGAAAAUAAAUCUUGUAGUAUUGAGAGAAAUGACAGUUAUUGAGCGUUUCUUUCUCUUAUACAAGCUAUAUUUUUAUAUUUUGCUGUUUUGUUGUUGUUGUUGUUUUGACAGAGUUUUCAGCAUCGCUAUAAGUCCAAAAUCUAUAUCACCUUUUAAAAACCUACAACCAAGUAUUGUCACUCAGGUCUUGAACCAAACUUCUCAAAAAUGUUGUGUGUGUGUGUGUGCGGUGUAUGUUUAUCUGCGCGUGCAAGAAGGUGCGUGUAUUCCUGUUGAUCAAGCGUGAUGCGGCCAGACAGACGAAUGUCUUUUGUUUAUUUCUACAGACAAACUUGAUGCUCAUGUCUGCUAGAACACGUCACGUGUUUUGUUUAAGCGGAAGUGACGUUAUUUGUUGACAGUCUCGAGCUUCCAUUAGCUCUUCAGCUGAAGAGCUCCCCGUGCCCGAUUAGCAAACCACUAACCAAUUUGGUUUUUUAUCAGUUUAGAUCUAGGUAGGUGGCGCUACCGAAUAGAGAGGUUCACGUUUGGCAUUCUUGGUAGAGAGUUAUUGGAACAAGUAUUUCAAAACUAUGUGGUCAUAGAAACAUCACAUGAUUGGAUUCCCUUUUUAUGGACUUUCUAAUGGGAACUGACAUGGGAACUGACAUAGGAACUGACAUCUUCCUGCUUUAGUUCUUUUCUCUUGUAUCUCUUGUCAACAUUUUUGUAGCACAACUUUCAACAUCAUGUUGUGUUCUGCAGCGUAUUUCUCAGCUAAAGACAAAGUUACUCUUAGUUAAGAGAAGGGAAUGUUUCCCAUUGGUUACUUUCUCCAGUCAUCCCUCCCUCCCGUUUUUUUCUCUUUGGGCUAUUGGCUGCUAAUCACAGCUCUCAAACAG